CGACGGCUUUCCCCUUACGCUACCGCCUCCUCUCCUUUCUUCCUCACUAUGGUCGCGUCUUUGUCGCCACCCGAUCCCUCGCCCUCUACUUUCUCUCUCUACAUCGCCUUUGCCCUACAUUGCCGAUGCCGCCCGAAGCCGUGUCGCCCGAUGGACGCUGAGCCACAACAUCACUAAUUCCAGUUGCUUUGCUGUUGUAGGAAGGGAGGAGCUACCACCUCUUUCGGCGAAUGCUUGAGUUCAAUUGUCGGCAGAUUUGCACCUAGGGCAUCGCCACCUUCUCUGCUCAUGUUGUUCCCAGCUGAUCGACCACCGACGCUCUUUGUCGAUGUAUUCUUGGAGUACCGACCCGUACCACCACCGGGAGGCGACCAACUGAGCUGAGGCAUUCAAACAGCGGGUUGUUGAAAUCUCACUGAGCAGAUCCCUGAUCUCUUCGAGGCUUAUUUCUGUGAGGGAUCCAAGUUGGAGAAGGGGGUUGAUUAGGGUAAGUUUUAGUUCCAAUUGUAAGGAUUUCAUAAAUCUAAUUGCUCUACGAGUUUUUUCUGGGUUUCAGAUCUUUACCACAGCAAACAGGCAUCCUUGAGGUGGUUAGGUUAUUGGAUGGAUACAUCAUUUCUGGAGAAGGGGCUAAGUUUUGUGCUAUUGAGAAUUUUUGAUUUGAGACAAGCGUCUCGAUGUGGGAUUGUUUAGCACGAUCAACAGAUAAAGGCGGGUACUUCUUGUUUUAUCUUUUUAGUACAUUGAUCUUAAUGCUUGAACUAUAUAUUCGGAUAGUUACUGUGUUUAUCUUGACACCA